CGCCCUCGCCCUCCUCCGGCCAUCGCUCGCCCUUCUCCGGCCGCCGGUCGCGCCGCUCCCUCCUCACCGAACGCCGCUCGCCCUACUCCGACCGCCGCUCGCAGCGCAUCUACCAGGGGCAUGUGAAGAAGGUGGGGGCUGAGGUUUUUCUUUGUUAUUUCUAUUUACUUACAUUGCUUUGCGUAAAAUGAAGGUACACAUGUCCUGUGUAUCACAAUCGUCGUUAUAAAAUGCUUAUGUAAAAGUGGAACCGCAUGCUUGAUAUUUAGUAUACUAUGUAUAAUUACCUCCUGAGUAAUUGAUGAUCGUGGCAGCUUUUGGGGUUCAUCUACUGAUGUAUCAGUACCUCCUAUGUAUAGCUGUUCAUGGAGUGUAAUUUUUUUUUGUGAAGCUUGAUUGGCCACUUGUAUGUUUGAAUGGGACAUCUCAUUUGUAUGGACAAAAUAAAAUUUAUCAUGUUUUGGACCCUUGAUUUGUAAA